CCAUUUAAAAAUAAAAUUAAGAAAAAGAAUUCACCUUGAGUACAAGCAAAGAAAGCUUUCUAAAUAGAGGGAACAGCACAGGCACAAUCAGUGAUACACAGAAUUCCUGUUUUUUUUAGGGGUUCUACAAAUCUUUCAGCUGAGGAAGUCGUGGUGAAGAGUGAGAGAAAGUGAGCUUCAAGACUGGGAAAGAAUACCCCAGUGUGUGAGGCUCACCUCCCUGUGUCCACGUGGUCUCAUUGUUCAACACCUGCCUUUGAGGGGAGAAAAAUGCCAGUCUUUAAUGAACUCGGAGCUAAAGUAAAUU
rnacentral:lncRNA from 13 species